GGGAAGGGGUGUAUUUAUUAGAUACAAAACCAAUACCACCUCGGUGGCUAUUGUGGUGACUCAUAAUAACUGAUCGAAUCGCAUGGCCUCGUGUUGGCGAUGGUUCAUUCAAAUUUCUGCCCUAUCAGCUUUCGAUGGUAGUGUAGUGGCCUACCAUGGUUUCAACGGGUAACGGGGAAUAAGGGUUCGAUUCCGGAGAGGGAGCCUGAGAAACGGCUACCACAUCCAAGGAAGGCAGCAGGCGCGCAAAUUACCCAAUCCCGACACGGGGAGGUAGUGACAAUAAAUAACAAUAUAGGGCUCUUUUGGGUCUUAUAAUUGGAAUGAGUACAAUUUAAAUCCCUUAACGAGGAACAAUUGGAGGGCAAGUCUGGUGCCAGCAGCCGCGGUAAUUCCAGCUCCAAUAGCGUAUAUUAAAGUUGUUGCAGUUAAAAAGCUCGUAGUUGAACUUCAGACCUGGCUGGGCGGUCCGCCUAACGGCGUGUACUGUCUGGCUGGGCCUUA
rnacentral:rRNA from 1 species